CCUACGGGUGGCUGCAGUGAGGAAUAUUGGUCAAUGGGCGCGAGCCUGAACCAGCCAAGUAGCGUGAAGGAUGACUGCCCUACGGGUUGUAAACUUCUUUUGUAAAGGAAUAAAGUGAGGCACGUGUGCCUUUUUGUAUGUACUUUAUGAAUAAGGAUCGGCUAACUCCGUGCCAGCAGCCGCGGUAAUACGGAGGAUCCGAGCGUUAUCCGGAUUUAUUGGGUUUAAAGGGAGCGUAGAUGGGUUGUUAAGUCAGUUGUGAAAGUUUGCGGCUCAACCGUAGAACUGCCAUUGAUACUGGCAGCCUUGAGUACAGGUGAGGUAGGCGGAAUUCGUGGUGUAGCGGUGAAAUGCUUAGAUAUCACGAAGAACUCCGAUUGCGAAGGCAGCUUACUAACCUGCAACUGACAUUGAUGCUCGAAAGCGUGGGUAUCAAACAGGAUUAGAUACCCUUGUAGUC
rnacentral:rRNA from 1 species